rnacentral:rRNA from 1 species
UCCUUUGACGUUAGCGGCGGACGGGUGAGUAACACGUGGGUAACCUACCUAUAAGACUGGAAUAACUCCGGGAAACCGGGGCUAAUGCCGGAUAACAUUUAGAACCGCAUGGUUCUAAAGUGAAAGAUGGUUUUGCUAUCACUUAUAGAUGGACCCGCGCCGUAUUAGCUAGUUGGUAAGGUAACGGCUUACCAAGGCAACGAUACGUAGCCGACCUGAGAGGGUGAUCGGCCACACUGGAACUGAGACACGGUCCAGACUCCUACGGGAGGCAGCAGUAGGGAAUCUUCCGCAAUGGGCGAAAGCCUGACGGAGCAACGCCGCGUGAGUGAUGAAGGUCUUCGGAUCGUAAAACUCUGUUAUUAGGGAAGAACAAAUGUGUAAGUAACUAUGCACGUCUUGACGGUACCUAAUCAGAAAGCCACGGCUAACUACGUGCCAGCAGCCGCGGUAAUACGUAGGUGGCAAGCGUUAUCCGGAAUUAUUGGGCGUAAAGCGCGCGUAGGCGGUUUCUUAAGUCUGAUGUGAAAGCCCACGGCUCAACCGUGGAGGGUCAUUGGAAACUGGGAAACUUGAGUGCAGAAGAGGAAAGUGGAAUU